AGAAGUUUAUUUUAUUUUUAUUUUCCACUCUUCUAGGUAGCAGACAUUACAUUUUCAUCCCAUUAGAGCUCUUCUCUCCUACCCAGAUUAUGUUCACAAGAGGAGGGGUUGGUUGGGAGAAGACAGUGUGGCUUUGUUAUAGUCAGGUAUAGAGAGGACUAACUUACAGUUUUAAAUACAUUGCAAGGUUUCUUAUAGAUGUAGUAGAGGGAACUACUCAGGAAUUGGUAUUCUGAAUAAUGAUAUCUUCAUUAGUUUGCUGACUCACAAAGUAAGGACUUUUUUAGUAAGAAGUGCCAGCUAGAUGUUAAAUUACAGUAAAAGAAACUAGGCAAUGGUUGAUGCCCAUGGAAUUCACUGAUCUUAAUCUCAUCCCCAUUAUAAGAAGCAGUUAGCUUUAUAGAAGGUGCAAUGAACUAUGGAAUACUCAAUUGUAUUAAAGUAGUUUGUGAAGGUGGAAACUGUUGCAAAAUCCAACAUGUGCUCUGAAUUGUCAACUAAAAUAAUGUUCUCUCUCCCAUGGCCAGAAGGUGCAUGUGCAGGAAUAAUGAAUUGAAGUAGAGAUGAAUCUUCUACCUAGUAGAGCUAAUGGCCCACUUCAAAAGCUUGUUUUAUGUCCUUGUGACUCUAGAUUCUGUUAGUUUAACCAUUUUAGUAUCUUGAGGAGAAGUGCUUCCUCCAGAGAAUAUAGCAACAGUUUUUAGAUUAAUUGGAAGAUUCACAAGGGUGGAGAUCUCCAAGGUGGGAAAGAUGGUUUCUGUCAUCCAUAUGCUAAGGAUUCCAUGACCAUUUUAGGUAAUUUAUGCUGCUGGAAAAAUAAAGAAUCAUGUUCUCAGCUGGGAUGGUUGAUUCUCACUAUGGAGAGGAAAUAGUGCUCUACCACUACAAAGACCAGAGUACAGAUACCUUCCUGGGCAGCAUCCUGUAGUCAUUUUAUGUCAAAUGAAUAAAGUGCAGCAGCCCCUUACAGGUCAGAUUCACAAGGGUGGAGAUCUCUGAGGCGGGAAAGAUGGUUUAUGCCAUCCAUAUGCUAAGGACUCCACACCAGUUACAAUGCUGGCUGAAGACAAAGGGAAAGUGAACAGUGCAGGAAAGGGAGAAGCCACAAAUAUCAUAGCUCCUUGCUCUCCACGCCAUAUCUACAUUUGUUUAUUUUAUCUAAUUCACUUUGUCUUUCUUGACUAUUUAUCAUACCAUUUUUAAAAUGUUUGAUUGGCUAAUUUUCCAUUUCAGGCCAUUGGCUAUAGAAUAUUAAAUGGGUAUGCAACAGAUAUUGAGGCAAAAGAACAACUCUUGGAGCUCUUAGAUUUUGAGCUAGAAGAAGUAACAGGCAAGUCAGAUGGUCCUUCCUUUUUGGGUGACGUUGAACAUGCCUUGAUUGUUUGAGGAGCAUUGUUGUAGGAGAGAGGAGUAUUUUCAAGCGAAAUAUGUGGAUAUCACAUAUUUGAUUGUUGUAGGAGAGAGGAGUAUUUUCAAGCGAAAUAUGUGGAUAUCAAGUAGGAAGAGGAGCUAGACUUGCAGAACAUCAGCUAUUGACCCAGUGUCCAAACACCCCUUUAUUUGGCAAAAUCCUCCAAAGUGUGCCUCUUAGUGGAAGGGAAGUUUCUUGGGAAGAGAAGCUGGAAUGGCCAGGCCCUCCUUCCCUAAGGGCUUUUGCUGCUGUUCAUCACCUAGCCUUGAAUGUUUGAAUAUUCUGGAAAGGAUGACACAAAGACACAAACCCAGUUAGAACUGAUUCUAGCUGCUAGUUUGAUAAUAUUGCGGGAAUCCAGCAUUGGCAGUGGUAGUAUCACAGUUCUAGAGGCAAGGACACAAAAUGUCUUGGGGUGGCAAUAUUGAAUUGCUGUUAUUAUCGGUGAUAGUGCUGAUGAGGAGUAGCACUAGGACAGAAUGUUCUUGGCUCCCUGCUGUUUACUCCACCUUGGUUACUCCACUCCCAAUUUCUCAGCCUGGGUUUUUUGGCCUUCCUGUUGAUUGAGUUACUGACACAAUAUCCUUUCAGUAAAUGUCUUUUCUUUUUCAUUAAGUUAGUGAUAUUUGGUCUCCACAGCAUAUAACCAAGAGCCUUGACCUUUAUGAGACUGAUUCAUGGAUAACAUUUUAUUUUUAUCUGAGGACAGUGAGCCAUACACCAAAAAAAGAACUACAUAAAAACUGCAAAGAUUCUUUAUUUGUAUGAUUGCUAUUUUCUUUACUCAUCUGUUCCUUUACAGAAAGAAAUAAUAAUAAAAAAAACAGCAGAAAACUCACUAGCAGAAAAUUAAAUUCUUCUCAGGGAGAUAAAUAUUUAUCUAGGAAGGAAAAUAUUGUUGAAUUUCUUUUAUGCCUUCUGUUCCCAAAGUUCCAUCUUUUGCCUCAGCCUGCAUUGUGAGUUCUUUGCCCUUUUUUUUCAUAGUCUAGUUCCACUGCUAGAUGGAGCUGGCCCACAGGCACAGGAGAAGGAAAAGAAAGUGCUUCAGAUUCUGCAGAAUGGGAAAUGGUGCACAGAGAAAUCACAUUGUUGGAGUAUCCAAGUCUCCUGUCAUCUCAAGCUUGGCAAAAUAAGAAACAGCUGACAUCAUGUUUCUAAAUAUACAACACUGUGCAACAGCUACCUGAAGCAAAAGCACAAGGGUUGAGAAGGCAAAAUAAUGACUUUUAGUCACUGGAAGGCAUCCAUGUUCAACAGACUGUCAGGAAGUGACAGUUAUCCUACUAGAUGGAGCUGGCCCACAGGAGAAGGAAAAGAAAGUGCUUCAGAUUCUGCAGGCUUCUGAAUGACGUUCUGCCUCAUCUCGGAUCCAGAAAAAUGGAGUUGAGACCUUUGAAACCAUGAAUCCCAAAGAAACUUUUCCUCCUCUAAAAUGCUUCUUGUCAGAUCUUUUGGUCACAGUAAUGAAAAGCCGACUAAAAUAGUGCAUGCAGUAAGGAGCUUGAGAACCCACCUGGCUUUUGGUAUUGUAAACACAGCAGGGGAUGAUGGCUUUACCAGAGUCUUCUAAAAGGCCACAAGAUGGGGAUAUUGUUACUCUAUAAACUCAGGUAUUUUAAUUCAGUAAAAAAUAAUUAUUGAGCACCUACUAUGUGUUUGGCAUUGUGCCCGGCUCUGGGAUUACAGUUAUGAAUAAAACAAUGUUUGCUAAUUAGACUUUAUGGUCUCAUGGAGAAGGCAUAGAUUUGAGCAUGGAUUUAGUAGAGUACUUAGUUCAAUAAUGAAAGAAGUAAUUGGGGGCCAUAAGAAUGGAAGAUAAGAACACUAAACUCAAUUUAGAGAGGGCUGGAUGGAGCUCAUGAAAAGUCCCCAAGAGGAAAAAAUUUCUAAGUGAGACAUACAGAAUGGCUAUGCAUUACUUAGAAGCAGAAUUCUAAUGUAGACAAGAAUGACAUGCCUACAGAGACAGCAAACUCAGUCCUUUAAGACAACUGGAAAAUGUUUUAUAUAUAUACAUAUUUAAUUUAACACUUAAGAAACCUUGGAGUAGAGGAUUCAAGAUGGUAGGCUACAGGAAGUCUUCAUUCCUAGUCACUCCAUGGAUUGGGAUUCAAGCAACAAGAGUUCUGCUUCUCUGAGAUGGAUGAAAGAGGGAUUUCACUAAAACUCAAUAUUGGACACAUCACUGUGUCUUAGAGAUUCAGAAAUUUGGAUACGCUAAACAAAGAAGAAAGACUACAUUGGAGCCAAACUAGUUGCAGCAGCAGUGACAGCAGCAGCACUGUCAUCUCGGAGGGAAGGAGAACAUAGAGAAUCACAAUGGACAAAUUUAGUACCCAAAACCUGAGAUCAGAAAGGCAGCCUGCCUUUAGCUGAUCCACAGGCUGCAUGUGUCCUGGUGAUUGAAAAGUGUCCCAUGUUUCCCAACUGGUCAUGGAGAGCUGAGGCAGAGCCACUUGAGGCAGCCAUGCUGUGGCCGCUGCUGUGAGAGCCAAGAGAUCAAAGCCAACCUGGUAUACUGUCCUGGAAAGUGCAUACCACAUGGUACCUCGAGUGCACCUAGAAGAACAGGAAUGAAACAAACACAGAGAGUACUUUACAAGGGCAGUUCAAGUCAGAAAAUCCAAAGAGAGCCUAACUCACUUUCCCCUUUGAGUCUGGUGGCUCAUGUGACCAGCUGAAGCAAGUCCAGAAAUCUGAACAGGUAGGUGGAAAGGCAGCAGAGGGGGUGAAGGAUUGGCUUUCCAGCCCCUGGAGUACCAUUCUUGAGAGGUUUUAGAGAUCUAGAUUCCCAGCUCAGAUUGGCAACUGCCCAGUCCUAAGAGUGUAUUGAUCUAAUCUCUCUGGAGUGGACACUACCCAGCAAAUUCUCUGAGGCCUGAUUAGACCUCAGCUCAACCCACUGGAAUUCCCCUCAUAGCACUCUACCACAGCCCCACCCUGGGUGUAUAUAGAUCUGUUCUGUGCAGAUGAAACUCCAACUGACAGUACUUCCCAUCCCUGGCUGCUUCAUAUUGCAGAGAAGAGAAGCUGAUACUUAUUUGAACCAGCUUCAGUUUAGGCCACUCCAACUGGCAGCUUGGGGAGCAGUGCAAAAAGAUGAAGGGGUUAACAACCCUUGUCCCUUGCUCUCACUGUCAGUGCAGAGCUCAAGAAGAACUGGAAAGAAAGACAGUUAGGCAUAGAUAGUGAGCAUCUAUUCUUUCCAACCAUCUCAGUGGAAACAAUUAUUUCAUUGAGAAUCUUUUCUCUUUUUCUCUUGUGUGUGUUUUUGCUGUGCUGAUUGGUUCAUGGAUAUACACACCUAUACAUAAUUGUUUCUUUUUUUUUUCUAAUUUUUAGCAUUU